rnacentral:rRNA from 1 species
GACGGGGGGGGCAAGCGUUGUUCGGAAUUACUGGGCGGAAAGGGCGCGUAGGUGGCCAACUAAGUCAGACGUGAAAUCCCUCGGCUUAACCGGGGAACUGCGUCUGGUACUGGAUGGCUUGAGUUUGGGAGAGGGACGCGGAAUUCCAGGUGUAGCGGUGAAAUGCGUAGAUAUCUGGAGGAACACCGGUGGCGAAGGCGGCGUCCUGGACCAAUACUGACACUGAAACGCGAAAGCCAGGGGAGCAAACGGG